rnacentral:rRNA from 1 species
GAGGAAGGCCCUUAUGGUUGUAAAGCACUUUAAAGCGAGGAGGAGGCUACUUUAGAUAAUACCUAGAGAUAGUGGACGUUACUCGCAGAAUAAGCACCGGCUAACUCUGUGCCAGCAGCCGCGGUAAUACAGAGGGUGCAAGCGUUAAUCGGAUUUACUGGGCGUAAAGCGCGCGUAGGCGGCUAAUUAAGUCAAAUGUGAAAUCCCCGAGCUUAACUUGGGAAUUGCAUUCGAUACUGGUUAGCUAGAGUGUGGGAGAGGAUGGUAGAAUUCCAGGUGUAGCGGUGAAAUGCGUAGAGAUCUGGAGGAAUACCGAUGGCGAAGGCAGCCAUCUGGCCUAACACUGACGCUGAGGUGCGAAAGCAUGGGGAGCAAACAGGAUUAGAUACCCUGGUAGUCCAUGCCGUAAACGAUGUCUACUAGCCGUUGGGGCCUUUGAGGCUUUAGUGGCGCAGCUAACGCGAUAAGUAGACCGCCUGGGGAGUACGGUCGCAAGACUAAAACUCAAAUGAAUUGACGGGGGCCCGCACAAGCGGUGGAGCAUGUGGUUUAAUUCGAUGCAACGCGAAGAACCUUACCUGGCCUUGACAUAGUAAGAACUUUCCAGAGAUGGAUUGGUGCCUUCGGGAACUUACAUACAGGUGCUGCAUGGCUGUCGUCAGCUCGUGUCGUGAGAUGUUGGGUUAAGUCCCGCAACGAGCGCAACCCUUUUCCUUAUUUGCCAGCGAGUAAUGUCGGGAACUUUAAGGAUACUGCCAGUGACAAACUGGAGGAAGGCGGGGACGACGUCAAGUCAUCAUGGCCCUUACGGCCAGGGCUACACACGUGCUACAAUGGUCGGUACAAAGGGUUGCUACCUAGCGAUAGGAUGCUAAUCUCAAAAAGCCGAUCGUAGUCCGGAUUGGAGUCUGCAACUCGACUCCAUGAAGUCGGAAUCGCUAGUAAUCGCGGAUCAGAAUGCCGCGGUGAAUACGUUCCCGGGCCUUGUACACACCGCCCUUCAUACCAUGGGAGUUUGUACAGUCAGAAGUAGGUAG